rnacentral:tRNA from 1 species
GCGGAGAUGGCUGAGCGGUUUAAGGCGCACGAUUGGAAAUCGUGUUACGGUUAACCCCGUACGGAGGUUCAAAUCCUCUUCUCCGCGCCA